rnacentral:rRNA from 1 species
UACGUAGGGAGCGAGCGUUGUCCGGAUUCAUUGGGCGUAAAGAGCUCGUAGGCGGCUUGGCAAGUCGGGUGUGAAAACUCCAGGCUCAACCUGGAGACGCCACCCGAUACUGCCAUGGCUAGAGUCCGGUAGGGGACCACGGAAUUCCUGGUGUAGCGGUGAAAUGCGCAGAUAUCAGGAGGAACACCGGUGGCGAAGGCGGUGGUCUGGGCCGGAACUGACGCUGAGGCGCGAAAGCGUGGGGAGCAAACAGG